CAAAUGCCCACUCCAAUUGCAGACCGUGGGCUCUGACGCCUAAGCUAUGGCUGGACAAAACAGGACAUUCCCUCAUUCACAGAAUACAACCAGGAGGUCGCAAACACACAAAGACCACAUUCAGACUAGACUACAAUGGCUUCAGUGGUCACGCUGUCUUUAACAAGUCAAGAGAGACGAGCCUCCCCAGCCGACACUCACACAGUUCGUGGACAAUGUAAGCUUGCUGGAUUGGGUGCGUCUUUGGAUACAAUCAUGUCACCAGAGAAGGAGAGGCCUCUUAUCUUUCUCUGCCAUGUUGCAGAGGCAGGUGUUUUGCCACAGACCAGGUGGAUUUCUUCCUGCUGAGGCUGAGCAAACUGAUGAAAACAAAGUGAAGAUGUUGUUCUUGUCAUUUAUCAUUAAUGACCAGCGCAGUGGAUCCUUUAAAGGCACACAACCCUCAUAUUCUUCCGUUUCCUCACACCUUAAUUAUUACAACAGCCUUUUCACUUGUUUCAGCUUUGUUACACCAGCUCUCAGUAUGUUUUACAACUGAUCUUGAGACUUUCUUGAUUAGUUUUAGUCCUAUGGCAAGCCUGUAUGUAGCCUAAGGUCCUCGGUCAGAGGGCUUUUGUUUGUUUCAGAGUCGUCAGUUUAAACCCAAAUGCACAGGUUAUUCUUUAAAAUCUCCUUUUAAAACAUACGUUUAUCAGAGAACUUUUCCUGAAUUUAUGUGAAUUGUCUCUUUAUGUUCUCUUAUCAUAUAUUACUGUGAAAUCAAUGUAUUAUAUUUUAUUCUAGUUAAUGUUUUGUUUUGUUUGUUUGUUUUACUUGCCAGGUCCCCAUUUGAUUAGAUUUUGAUUUGCUGCCAACUGAUAUGUAAAGAUAAAAGGUGAAAUGAGUGGUAACCAGACCCUCCCCAACCCCACUUGCACCUACUUAACAGCUCAGCAUGUGUAUAUUUUACAGAUCCUAAAUGUAUCCAUAAAAUAAGACAUUCUACAUAAGUAAUCAAGUUAAAGAAACUCAUUUUAUAUAAUAUAUCAUUGUAGUAAUAUGAUUGGAAGAUGUACUUAGAUUAAUAGCUAAACAUUUUGGAAGAAACACCAAUUUGUUCUCAAACUGUGGAUUUCCCCUGACGUUUUAGAGAUAUUUUCAAGUCAUAGAAAUUACAGUAGACAGUUGAGGAAUAUAGAAAAUGCUGCUGUGAUUGCAAUCCCACUCUCCAAAAAGAUUCAUUUGAUUAUAUCUCUAGAAACACACAUAACACUUUCAAAAUCUCUUAAGAUGUAUGUAAGAUAUACUGACUUACUUUACCCUGUCAACUCCUGCAGCUAUAAAUAAAGCUUCAUUCAUGAAGAAUGCUUGUGUUUGAAACAGGCUGUACUUCUACAUACUUAUAUAUUUGCUAUAUGUCACAGAGGGAAGUACACAAUGGGAAUACUAAUCAGAUUUAAAAGGAAAA